CGGGGAUCCAGUCGAUCGCGGUGUCCAGGUACCCGUUCGACAGGUCACUUUCGUCUAAGCAGAGUGCACAGCAAGAACAAGACGUCACAUUUCAGUCCUCGGUGAGUACCUUUGAGUGGCACGUAGGCUCGUCGGAUGAGCUCGGCGAAGUGGAGGUACCCCAUGAAGCCGCACGCACUGGUGGUCCAGAAAACCAAGGCCAGGAUCCCCAUCUCCUCGGCGACCCGCUGCG